CGGAUGUGAUGCAAGCGCGCGCAGACCAAGCGCAAGUCUUGAUGACGUCAUCGGAAAAGGCCAGGUGCUGAAUCAUUCGCCGAUAUUUUUUCAUUGCAGCAUACUAGCGUGUUAGCGAUUUGUAAUUUAAACUGGUUAGUUGCUUCUAGUAAAGCGCGACAAAGUUGCGACCGUGUUGUCAAACGGCAGCAGUAUCCUCCCCUAGUUCAGGAAGUUGUGUCAGAGUUACUUGCAUUUGUCUGAGACGGCGAUUCGUGGAAUUGGGAGCCAUAUAUACCAAUCACUAGACGUGGUUUUGAGUGAGUGUCUUUGUUUGUCAUUACACACUGCUCAUCACGUAAAGACGGCGUUAGAACUUAGAGGAGAGUAUUGAUUGUGUCAGUUGAAAGCAGUGAAUGCAGCUAAAGGCGUGUCUACCAUCAGCACUAGGCUUUCAUAGCUACGUCGUCAGCAGAGGGUUUUCAGAGAACAUUCUAGAACUUAUGGUGCAAUGCCUUACUGAGUGUAUGUAUGCACACAUGGAACACGCAGCACAUGACUCACCGGCUGGAAUCACAUGCACUGCAGUCAGAAAGCUGUAAGCUUAUAUGCCUCAUAUCAGGUUUUUGACUUUCAUGCGAGCCUAGCAUCACGAGUGCGUGUUUGUGGAAACUUGGAUCGUCGCCACCCGUAGUCCACGGGCAAGUAGCGUAUAUAGUACGUGACUGAGAGAACUGCCAGUUUACUGAAUAUAUAUGCUGUCGAAUCAAUAGCUCGUGUCUACGUGUACACGUAUCUACAGUGCCUGGAUACUGAGGACUUCAUCAUUUUCUAAGCCUUAAGCCGAGCUCAGUAACUGCUUAUUUUUGACUGUGUGUAACACUAGAGCUCUAUCCAAGACACGAUUGUGCUGUGGUUGCGCGCACGCACACACUGUGCUGGAACGCUCAUCAAUACGUACCUAGUUCUGGUGACGAGGAAAGAUUAAAGCGUCGAUGGCUGAUUGCUGAUCUUCGUCUAUAGCCAAAAACGCCUGGCGAGCAAAACCCGCAGGUGUCGCACCACCACCGCCAGCGAGAGGCGAGUCUUCGCCGGCCGUCCAGUCUGCAGCAACAUUCGCUCGCGCGCCGACCGCCAAGAUGCUGCUGCCAAUGAAGCGCUACUUCACGGACGGCCUCGUCCAGAUCGCAAUCGUCCUCAGCCUCCUGCGCAUUGACCUCGACAUCUACGGCGACAUGGACGACAUCUUCGUGCCCGCGUACGGCGAAGCACGCGUCGGCGGGAUGUCGCUGUACGCAAGCGCGCGGCACCGCGGCGGCGGCGCGAUCGACGGCUACGCGGCGCACCCAAAGAGCGUGGAUCGCGACGCGUCGCCGAUGCUGCGCGAGCUGCAGCGUCUCGGCGCGUACGAGCGUUUCCGCGCGCCGCUCCCGAUGCAGAACGACUUCGUCGCGCUGCUGCUCAACGUUCCCGAGAAUCUCACCGAGGCGGGGGGCGGCGGCGCGGGCGGGACGCCGCAGGAGGAGAGCGUCCCCGCGCAGCCGACCGCCGCGCAGGACGACGACGGCGGUAACCACGACGACGGAUCGCGGGAGGCGACCGCGCUCGGCGCCGUGUCUCCGAAUAGCGAUCUCACGAAAGAGGAUAUGGACCUCAUAGAGAUCCUGUGGCGACAAGACAUUGAUCUGGGAGCACCUAGGGAUGUGUUUGACCCCACACUGCGCAUGGAGCAGAGGAAGAAGGAAGCAGACAGCAACAACAACAACAAUAACAAUGAGACGGCCAUUCCCUCAGACCCCUGGAGCGGGCUUCAGUAUUACAGAGAUGGGGAGACAGGCGAGUACGUGAUGCUGCCACCGCAGCAGCAGCAGCAGGCCCCGUCCGCCGCUCAGCCUGCGGACAGCCGCCACACCGAUGUGGACGAGCCGCCGACCGCCGAUGCCGACUCCGUGACCUUGCAGACGCCAGAGGUCGCCGACGCCGUGGUCCCCCUCCCGCCCGCUGCCGCGCUGCUGUCCGAUCGCCAGCCGUACAGCGACCUGGGCGCCUCGGCCCCGCAGCAACAGCAGCCGCUGGAGUAUAGCGGGCCAAUGCAGGACGUGAUGGAGAUAGGAGCGCUGCAGACGCAGGAGCAUCGCACGCGCGGGGAUUCGGAGAGCACGCGCGCGUCAGAGGUGUCGCACAGCGACUACGAGUCGACGGUGUCGCCCGCGGACGAACAGCAGGAUGGAUACGCAUUCGGUUUCGACCUUGAUCUUGACCUUGAAGAGCUGACCAACAACCUGAACCUGGACACGUGCAACAUGACCACCGUCGCCCAGUUUGACAACUACAUCCAAAGCGGGCAGCGACUUCUGAACGGCUCCGUCGGUGACCAGGUGCAGCCCGCAGCGUUUACGCGCCUCAGCAGCAUAGAGCAGCGUUGGGAGGACGUGGCCAGCGUACUGGAGCUGGACGCCGGCGCUCUGCGGGCGACCGCGACGUGGCCGACCAACUUCUCGGGAGCCGCCGGCAGCGCCCCCAUACAGCCGUCGGACGUACUACUGCAGAACGUGACGCUGGCGUCGCGACUCAGCCGAUAUUGACGGUGAGUGUGCAGUGCCCCUUCGUCGCGUCACCUACCUUGACCGGUGAUAUUGACCGAGCUGACCCUAA
rnacentral:misc_RNA from 1 species